CCCCCCCCCCGCCACCGCCUUUGCUCUUCUGCAAUUUGGCCAGGGGCAGUGCUCCAAGCCACUGGGUGUGAACAUGGUGGCAGUCCUGGUAAGAACCACAAUGGAUCACAGAUGAUGGUUGGCCAGCAGGUGGCAGAAGAGGAAUCCCUGCCUUCCUCAAGAGGAACACCUACCCCGUGGCUACUGCUGGGGUCGGAUUUUGAUUUUUAUUUAUUUCUUGGAUUACAGUCCUAUGUAGUUUGAUUAUGUGGUCUGCUAGCAUUAGUUUUAGGCUUUAAGUUACUAUUCUGGAAAUGUAGUUAGGGGCUUUGCUUAUUUGUAGAAUUCAAUUACAUUUAAUGAGUUUUUAUUUUUGAGUUCCUUAAAAUAAGUUAAAAUUUUUAAUUUGUUUUACUAAUUCCUUAAGUUUUUUUUGGCUUUAGAUAUUCAAAUUCAAAUUGCUAUUUAAAAAAUUUUUACUACUUUUUUACUCUGAAAUUGACUUAAUAAACUACAUCUUUUUGGAUUUUGUAAGAGUCUUAUAGUACAGAAGUAGUUAAUUAAAAUUUUAACUUUAUGACCAAAUGUAAUAAGGAAUAUUUGAAGGUCCACUCCAGUCCAGGCCUCGCUUUGUUCCCAUCCUGAAUGCUGCACGAAUUGAGUAAAAACUAUCAUGCAGGAAACUAGACUUACUGUGGACUUGUUUCCUCUAGUGAAACGUUAUAUUUGAGUGUCAAUGCCCAUAAUUUUAAUUUUCUGUGGUGCCUUGCCUCCAUAGUUCCCAUUUCCUCCCCAGCCCUGCUCCCAGCAACCGCCCCCCAAUCUAGCACCAGCCCUUCCCCUGCCCUGUGUCCAGCCCUGCCCCUGCCCUGUGUCCAGCCCUGCCCCAGCCCUAGCUCCAGCUGCCCAGCCCUAUCACCAGCCCUAUCCCUAGCCCCAGCCCCAGCCCGAGUCCCAGCCCCAGCCCCAGCCCCAGCCCCAGCCCCAGCCCCAGCCCCAGCCAUCACCCUAACCCUGCUUCUCCCUAAAGUCACUCCAAUUUGCAUUGAUUUGGUGCUAAAAGUUGUCCAUUGCUCAUCCAUAAGACUGGAAUGACCCUGUGUGCCUCUAGCAUUUGCUGACUUUCCGAGUUGACUACCUGAGUUAUCAUUUUCAAUUAAUGUACACAGUCCCAUUUGUCCACUGUCCCACGUUAGAACAAUCAAUCUGUUCACCUUUGUGUCAAUGUUAGAAAUGUUAGUUAAUUGAGUUUAAUAUCAGAUAACUAUUGUUCAUAAUUUUAGUUACUCAUCAUCUCUAUUCCCUGCCCUUAAGGAAGGAGAAACCAUUCUUCUGUCAUUGCUGCAGUAGUCACAGUCCCCGUUUUCUGGGCAGUGCUCAUAAUAUUGUGCUGGUCACCUGAACUCUACCCUGAGUGAAAUUUUAAUUGUCCUGCCCAUUGGAUUAGAUCCCAGUCCUUUUGCUGAAUUCAGGACUGGGUGCAGAAAACACGAAUCUUUUGUUCAAUAGUUAACAUGCUCAGUCCCAAAUUGUAUUAGCCUUGUCCAUUAAACAAAGGCACCCUACCAUUUUUGUCCUGCUUCUGGGAUGGCCUGCUGUUCUUUGACAAUUAAAGUACCAAACUGUAAUUGUAUGUUGUCUUGCCCAGUAAUCAAUGACCCUUCAUCCCCUUUGCAUUGCCAUUAGGCAGUGCUGACUACCUGGGACCACGUUCCUUGAAUGAUUGAUGAGUAUAAUCCCAAUUGUCCACACCCCUGUUCAUUACACAAGUCCUUUGCAACUCCUUUGCACUAUAGCAGAUGGGCUCAUCUUCAAAGUCCUUUACUUUGGGAUAUUGAUGAAUACAAUCAUUAAUAUUCAAGAUCCUGCCUAAAAGGUAAGACCCACCCAUGCUCUCUUCUCUUUACUCCAGGUAGUGCAGACUACUUACUACCCUGCAUUAAUAUGUAAAAUCCUCAUUGCCCACUGUCCCAACAGUUAGUCUAGGAUAUAACUUUAUCUUUAUGCCAUUGCUUAUGAGGGGUUCUGAUUACCCAAGGUCACUUAAACAGUUGAUGUGCAUAAUUGCAUAUGUCCAUGGUGCUGCGCAAUAAAAAAUGGAAUCCCACCCCGUCCUAACCACUUUGGGAUAUUGCUAGUGAGUGCAGAUUAUUCAGGAACUCAGUUGUUGGACAGUUAAUUUGCACAGUUGGAGUUGUGCAGAGUCCUGUCCAUUUGAAAGAGCCACUGUAUUCCAUUUGCAUACUAUAAUGUGGGCUGAUCACUCAAAGACACUUCUCUUGAAUUGAUAAUUUUCAUAAUUGCAUUGGCACAUGUUCUGUGAACUAGCCACACCCACUCCCUUUGUAUUCUAGCAGGGGACCCUUACUACUCAAGAACAAUACACUAGGAUAUUUUAUGUGUACAAUAUUAAUUGGCUAGACUGAGCCUUUUGUAUCAGGAACCCUGCACCAUCUCUAUAUCUAAAAAGUGCUAAUUAUCUAAGGCUCUUCUCCUAAAAUUGUUCAUGUGCAAAAUUGCAAUCCCCAAUGUCUCCUACUGUUAACCUAAAAUCCCAUUUCCACCUAACUCCCUUUGCAUUAUUGCAGAGGGCACUUGGGUCCUUUAAGGUGCUUAAGGCAGUUAUGGUCCCUUCUGUUAGUCUGGGAUCCCAUCCCCUCCUACUUCCUUUGCAUUACUGCAGAGAAUACUUGGAAACGUUAAUGUGCUUAACUGCAGCGAUAAUUCCUUCCAUUAGUCUAGGAUCCUAUACCCUCCUACUCAUUUUGCAUUAGCACAGAUUGUACAUGGGACUGUUAAUGUGUUCACAUGCAGCUCUGUCCCUUAUGUUAGUGUGUAUGAGUCUAUCCUCUUUAACUCCCUGUGCAUUACAGCAGAGGGUAGUUGGGAUCUUUAAGGCCCUCAAAGGCAGCUAUGGUGCCUUCUGUUAGUCUAAGAUCCCACCCCCUCCUACUUCCUUUGCAUUUCUGCAGAGGAUAUUUGGGACUGCAAUGUGCUUAAUUGCUGCCAGAGUCCUCUGUUUGUCUAGGAUCCCAAUCUCCUCCCUCUUACUGAGUUUGCAUUACACAGAGUACAAGGGACUGUUAAUGUGCCUAAGUGGCAGCUAUCGUCUCUUCUAUUAAUCUAGGUUCCCAUCCCAAUCUAAAUUCUUUUGCAUUACUGCAGAGGGUACUUGGGACUGUUAAUGUGUGUAAUUGUAGUUACAGUCCCUUCUGUUAGAUCCUGUCCUCACCUACUCUCUUUGCAUUAUCAUGAAGGGUACAAUGAGACUGUUAAUGAGCUUAAUUGCAGCUAUAGUUCCUUCUGUUAAUCUAGUUUCCCACUUAUUCCUGCUUUGCAUUAUAGCAAAGGGUACUUGAGACCUUUAAGGUGCUUAAAUGUAGCUAUGACCCCUUCUGUUUAUGUUCCCAUCCCCUCCUACUUUGCAUUACUGCAGAGGAUACUUGGGACUCUAAAUGUGCCCAAUUACUACUUUCCCUUUUCUUUUUCUUUGUCCCAUCCCCUCCCACAGUUUGUAUUAUCAUAGAAGGUACAAGGGACCAUUAAUGUGCUUAGAGGCAGCUAUGGUUUCCCUUGUUAACCUGGGAUCCUGUCCCCACCUAACUUCCUUUUGCAUUAUUGCAAAGGGUACUUUGGACUAUUAAUGUGCUCUAAGGAAGCUGUGUGGUUCCUUAUAUUACUGUAGGAUUCCAUUGUCUCCAACUCCCUAUGCAUUACAGCACAGGGUACUUGGACACUUUAAGAUGCUUAAAUGCAGCUAUAGCCUCUUCUGUUAGUUUUAUACUCCCAUCCCCUCCUAUUUCCUUUGCAUUACUGCAGCAGCUACUUGGGACUGUUAAUGUGCUUCAUUGUAGCUACAAUCUCUUCUAUUAGUCUAGGGUCUCAUCCCUUCUAGUUCCUUUGCAUUAGCACACAAUAUACAUGGGACUGUUAAUUUGCUUAAAUGCAGCUCUGUCCCUUAUGUUAAUGUAGCAUUCCAUCCAACUCCCUAUGCAUUAGAACAGAGGGUACUUGGCACCUUUAAGGUGCUUAAAUGUAGCUGUGGUGCCCCCUGUUAGUCUAGGAUCUCAUACCCCUUCUACUCCCUUUACAUUAAUGGCAGGACAUUUGGGACUGUUAAUGUGCUUAAUUGCAGUUACAAUCCCUUCUAUUAAUCUAGUUAUCCUAUGCCUUCUCACUUCCUCUGCAUUAGAGCAGAUGGAGGAUUUGGGACUGUUAAUGAGCUUAAUGCAGCUAUAGUCCCUUCUGUUAAUCUAGUUUUCCAUGUACUCCUACUUCCUUUGCAUUACAGCAGAGGGUACUUCAGACCUUUAAGGUGCUUAAUUGCAGUCAUGGUCCUGUCUGUUAGUUUAGGAUCUCAUAUCUUUCAACUCCCUUUGUAUUAUCUUUGGGACUGUUAAAGUGCUUAGUUGCAGCUGUGGUCCCUUUUCUUAGUCUAGGGUCCUAUCCCUUGCUACUCACUGCAUUACCUGGGAGUGGAUUUGGGACUAGUAAUGUGCUCAUUUGCAAUUGUGGUCCCUUUGGUUAGUCUGGGGUCCCAUGUCCUCCAACUCCUUCUGCAUACAGCAGAGGCUACUUGGGACUCUUAAUAUGUUUAAUUUUAGCUGUGGUCCCUUUCAGUACUCUAGGAUUCCACACCAUUCUAUUCACUUUGCAUUAGCACACAGUGUAUAUGGGACUGUUAAUGUGCUUAAAGGUAGUUCUGUCCCUUAUGUUAAUGUAGGAUUCCAUCCUUUCCAACUCUCUAUGCAUUAGAGCAGAGGGUACUUGGCACCUUUAAGAUGCUUAUACAUAGCUGUGGUCCCCCCAGUUAGUCUAGGAUCCCAUCCCCCUUCUACUCCCUUUACAUUACAUGGCAGGGCAUUUGGGACUGUUACUGUGCAUAAUUGCACUUACAAUCCCUUCUGUUAGUCUAAGAUCCUAUGCUUUCCCAUUUCCUUUGCAUUAGAACAGAUGGUAUUUGGGACUGUUAAUGAGUUUAAUUGCAGCUAUAGUCUCUUCUGUUAAUCCCAUGCACUCCUACUUUUGUGUUAUAGCAGAGAAUACUUGAGACCUUUAAGGUGCUUAAGAGCAGGUAUGGCCCCUUCUGUUAGUUUAUGUUCCCAUCUCCUCCUACUUCCUUUGCAUUACUGCUGAGGCUACCUGGGACUGUUAAUGUGCCUAACUGCCACUAUAGUCCCUUCUGUUUGUCUAGAUUCUCAUCCUCUUCUACAUGGAUUACAUUACCACAGAGGAUACAAGGGACUGUUAAGGUGCUUAAAUGCAGCUACUGUCUUUUCUGUUAACUCAGGUUCCCAUCCCCACCUAAUUCCCUUUGCAUUAUUGCAGAGGGUACUUGAGACACUAAUGAACUUAUUGUAGCAUUGGUCCCUUCUGUUAGACUGGGAACCCACCCUCACAAACUCCCUUUACAUUUUAAUGGAGAAUACACGGGACUGUUAAUGUGCUUAAAUGCACCCACAGACCCUUAUGUUAAUGUAGGAUUCCAUCCUUGCCAAACCCUCUAUGCACUACAGCAGAGAGUAGUUUCUACCUUCAAGGUGCUUAAAUGUGGCUAUGGCCCCUUCUGUUAGUUUAUGUUCCUGUCCUCUCCUACUUGCUUUGCAUUACUGCAGAGGAUACUUGGGAUGUUAGUGUGCCUAAUUGCUGCUACAAUCCCUUUUGUUAAUCUAGGAUCCUGUCCCAUUCCACACUGUUUGCAUUACCACAGAGGGUACAAGGGAUUGUUAAUGUGCUUAAAUGCAACUAAGAUCUUUCCUGUUAAUCUAGGACCCAAUCCCCACCUAACUCUGCAUUAUUGCAGAGGCUACUUGGGACUGUUAAUGUGCUCUAAUGCAGCUGUGGUCCCUUUUGUUAGAUGAGGAUCCCAUCCCUACCUGCUCCCUUUGCAUUAUCAUGGAGGGUACCUGGGACUGUUAAUGUGCUUAAAUGAAGCCAUGGUCCCUUAAGUUAGUGUAGGAUUUCAUCCUCUCCAACUCCCUGUGCAUUACAACAGAAGGUACUUGAGACUUUUAAGGUGCUUUUAAGCUAUGGUGCUUUCUGUUAGUCUGGGAUCCCAUUACUACCUAACUCCCUUUCAAUUACUGCAGAAGGUACUGGAAAUCUUUAAGAAGCUUAAAUGCAGUUACAACCCCUCUGUUAGUGUUCCCAGCCCCUCCUACUUACACUUUGCAUUGCAGAGGAUACUUGGGACUGUUAAUAUGCCUAAUUGCCACUACAGUCCCAUCUGUUUGUCUAUAAUCCUAGCCCCUCCUAAACGUUUGCAUUUCUACAGGAGGCACAAGGGACAAUUAAGUGCUUAAAUGCAGCUAUGGUGUCUUCUGUUAGUCUAGGAUCCUAUCCUCUACCUACUUACAAAAGGUACAAGGUACUGAUAAUGUGCUUAAGUGCUGCUAUAAUCCCUUCUGUUUGUCUAGGAUCCUGUCCCCUCCUACAGGGUUUGCAAUACCACAAAAAGUACAAGGGGACUGUUUAUGCUUAAAGGCAGCUCUUCUUUCACCUAGGAUUCCAUCCCCACCUAAUGCAUUUGCAUAGUUGCAGAGGGUACUUGGGACUGUUAAUGUGCUUAAAUGCAGCUGUGAUCCCUUAUGUUAAUGUAGGACUAUCCUCUCCAACUCCCUAUGCUUAAUAGCAGAUGGGACCUUCAAAGUGCUUAAGUAUACUUACAGUGCCUUCUGUUAGUCUGGGAUCCCAUCCCCACCUAACUCCCUUUGCAUUACAGCAGAGAGUACUCGAGAUCUUUAAGAUGCUUAAAAUGCAGCUAUGCCCCCUUCUGUUAGUUUAUGUUCCCAUCCCUUCCUACUUUGUAUUACUACAGAGUACACUUGGGACUGUAAAUGUGCCCAAUUACUGCUAUAGUCCCUUCUGUUUGUCUAGGAUCCCAUCCCCUCCUACAGAGUUUACAUUAUCACAGAGUGUACAAGGGAUUGUUAAUAUGCUUAAUUGUAGUUAUAGUCCCUUCUGUUAGACUAGGAUUCCAUCUCCACCUACUCCAUUGCAUUAUCAUGGAGGGUACAUGGUACUGUUAGUGUGCUUGAAUGCAGCUACAGCCCAUAUGUUAGCAUAGGGAUUUCAUCCUCUCCAACUUCCUAUGCAUUAUAACAUAGGGCGUUUGGGACCUUAAAGGUGCUAAAAUGCAGCUAUGGCCCCUUCUAUUAGUUUAUGUUCCCAUUCUCUCCUACUUCCUUUGCAUUACUGCAAAGGAUACUUGGGACUCUUAAUGUAGGUAAUUGGUACUACAGUCCCUUCUGUUAAUCUAAGAUCCCAUUCCCUCCUACUUGCUUUGCAUUACCACAGAGGGUACAAGGGACUGUAAAUAUGCUUCAAUGCGGCUCCUGUCCCUUAUAUUAGUAUAGUAUUCCAUCCUCUCCAAUUCCCUAUGCAUUACAGCAGAGGGUAGUUGGUAUCUUUAAGGUCCUUAAAGGCAGCUAUGGUGCCUUCUAGUAGUGUAGGAUCCUAUCCCCUCCUACUGACUUUGCAUUACUGCAGAGGAUACUUGGGACUGUUAAUGUGCUUCAUUGCCACCAGAGUCCCUUUAAUUUGUCUAGGAUCCCAUCCCCUUCUAUUUGCUUUGCAUUAGCACACAAUGUACAUGGGACUGUUAAUUUGCUUAAAUGCAGCUCUGUCCCUUAUGUUAAUGUAGCAUUCCAUCCAACUCCCUAUGCAUUAGAACAGAGGGAACUUGGCACCUUUAAGGUGCUUAAAUGUAGCUGUGGUGCCCCCUGUUAGUCUAGGAUCCCAUUCCCCUUCUACUCCCUUUACAUUAAUGGCAGGACAUUUGGGACUGUUAAUGUGCUUAAUUGCAGUUACAAUCCCUUCUAUUAAUCUAGUUAUCCUAUGCCUUCUCACUUCCUCUGCAUUAGAGCAGAUGGAGGAUUUGGGACUGUUAAUGAGCUUAAUGCAGCUAUAGUCCCUUCUGUUAAUCUAGUUUUCCAUGUACUCCUACUUCCUUUGCAUUACAGCAGAGGGUACUUCAGACCUUUAAGGUGCUUAAUUGCAGUCAUGGUCCUGUCUGUUAGUUUAGGAUCUCAUAUCUUUCAACUCCCUUUGUAUUAUCUUUGGGACUGUUAAAGUGCUUAGUUGCAGCUGUGGUCCCUUUUCUUAGUCUAGGGUCCUAUCCCUUGCUACUCACUGCAUUACCUGGGAGUGGAUUUGGGACUAGUAAUGUGCUCAUUUGCAAUUGUGGUCCCUUUGGUUAGUCUGGGGUCCCAUGUCCUCCAACUCCUGCAUACAGCAGAGGCUACUUGGGACUCUUAAUAUGUUUAAUUUUAGCUGUGGUCCCAGUAGUUUAGGAUCCUUUGUAUUACCUUUGUAUUAUCAGAUGGUAUUUGGGACUAAAAAAUGCUUAAUUGCAUCUCUGGUCCCUUCUGUUAUAGGAUCCCAAUGUUGUCCAACUCCCUGUGCAUUACAGCAGAGGUCAUUGGGGCUGUUAGUGGGUUUAACUGUAGCUGUGGUCCCUUCUGUUAGUCUAGUAUCCCAAGCCCUCCAACUGCCUUUGUGUUACCUGGGAGUGUAUUUGGGACUCUAAGUUGCUUAAUUGCAGCUGUUGUCUCUUCUGUUAGUAGUUUCCCAUGCCCUCCUAUUAUCUUUACAUUAUAACAGAGGGUCCUUGGGAUUGUUAAAGUGCUUAAUUGCUGCUGUGGUCCCUUCUGUAAUUCCGGGGUCCCAUCCCCUCCUACUCUGUUUACCUGAGAGGAUUUUUGGGACUGUUAAAAGAGACCACAUAAUUAAAUUAGUAUAGUUUCCCAUGCCCUCCUAUUCUCUUUGCAUUACAACAGAUGGUACUUGGGAUUGUUAAAGUGCUUAACUGCAGGUGGGGUCCCCUCUGUUAGUCUAGGAUCUCUUGUCCUUCCCCCUUUACAUUACCGGGAGCAGAUUUGGGAAUGUUAACAUGCUUAUUAAUUACAGUUGUUGUCCCUUCUGUUAAUCUAGUUUCCAGUCCCUUCCAACUGGUUUUCCAUUACCUAGUAACAGAUUUGGGACAAUUAAUAUGCUCAUGUGCAGCUGUGGUCCCUUCUGUUCGUCUAGCAUUCCAUGCCCUCUAACUCCCUUUCCAUUAUAGCAGAGGAUAUUUGGGACUUUUAAUGGCUUAAUUGCAGCCCUGGUCCCUUCUGUUAGUCUAGGAUCCCAUGUUCUCCAACUCACUUUGCAUUACCUGAGAAUGUAUUUGGGACUGUUUAAAUGCUCUAUUGGAGCUGUGGUCCCUUUUGUGUGUCUAGUUUCCCAUGCCCUCCUACUCUUUUGCAUUAUAGCAUUGGAUACUUGGGGCUGUUAAAGUACUUAAUUCCUGGUGUAGUCACUUUUGUUGAUUUAGGAUCCCAUUCCCUUCUACUCCCUUUACAUUAUCUGGGAGGAUUUGGGGGACUUUUAAAGUACUCAUUUGCAGCUGCGGGUCCCCUUUGUUAGUCUAGGAUCCGAUGUCCUCCAACUCCCGUUGCAUUAUAGCAGAUAGUGCUUGGGACUGUAAAUGUGCAUUACAUACAGGUGUGGUCCAUUUUGCUGGUCAUGACCACCUCUUCCCUUUAUAUUACCUGGGAUCAGAUUUGGUACUGAAAGGUGCUUAAUUGCAGCCUGUGUUCCCUUCUGAUUAGGAUUCCACACCUCCAUCUCUAUUUGCAUUACAGCAGGGCGUACUUGGGCCUGUCACAUGCUCUGUUGCAGCUGUGGUACCUUCUGUUUUGUAGGAUCCCAUGCCCAUCAUCUCCUUUUUACAUUAUCUGGGAGUGUAUUUGGAACUUAUAAAGUACUUAAUUUUAGCUGUGGUUCCUUCUGUUCAUAUACUUUUCCAUGCCCUCCUACUGUCUUUGCAUUAUAGCAGAGGGUACUUGGAACUGUUAAAGUGCUUCAUUGCAGCUGUGUCACUUUUGUAGUUUAGGAUCCCAUGACUUCCCAGCCCCUUUACAUUACCUAGAAAGGCAUCUGGGACUGUUAAGGUGCUAACUGCAGCUGUGGUCCCUUCUGUUAGUCUAGGAUCCCAUUCUCUUGUACUCCCUUUGCAAUACUUGGGGAAGGUUUUUUGGGACCAUUAAAGGGCGCUGUUGCAGGUGUGGUCCUUUCUCCUACUGUGAGAUCCAUGCCCUUCAAACUUUGGGUUACUGCUGAGGGCACUUGGUACUAUGAAUGUGCUCAAAUGCAGAUUUGGUCCCUUUUCUUAGUCUCAGAUCUCAUGCCUUCCAACUCCUUGUACAUUAUCAGAGAGGGUGCUUGGGACAGUUUUUAUGCUCAGUUACAACAGUGGUCCCUUUUUUAGUCUAUGAUUUCAUCCCUUGCCUCUCGCCCCUCAACUCCCUUUGCAUUACCACAGAAGGUACUGGAGACUGUUCAGGUGUAUCUCAUUCUCUGACCCCCUGUUAGCAUUAUAGUAAGGGGUGCUGAAUACCAAAACCCCCUUUUUUUUGCAUUGUUAAUGUGCAUAAUUGCAUUUGUUCAUCUUUCUCUGCAGUCGAUAAGAUUUCACUAACUUCCCUUGUAUUCAGCAGUGAAUGCCCUUUAUUCAAGACCUUUGUACUACAAUAAAGUGAACCAUGGUAAUUGACCACACUGUCAUUCAUUUAAGUCCCCCGUACUCUCUGUAUUAAUUACUUUAGUUAUUUUUUGGGGGGAUUAUUUGUAGCAAAAUUCCAGUGUUUAUAGUCCUUCACUUUUAACUAAUUUCCCACCCUUUUUGUAUUGCAUCAGGGGAUGUUAGUAUCUCAAAGUAUUCCUCUUAGGACUCUAAAUGUGCAUAUACCCUCUUGAUAAGCUAAUAUCUUUAUUUCUUAGUAUUAUAGCAGGGGGUACUAACCACCUAAGGUCCUUCUUUUGGACAGUUAAUGUGCCAGAUUGCACAUCCCCAAAUUGGGGAUCCCACCCCCAUCACACCUUCUCUGUGUCAGGCGUGCUGACCAACUAUAACUGCUUCUCCUUUAUAGUUUAAAUGUGCAUAAUUACAGUAACCAAUGGUCCCUUAUGUUAGAAUGGGAUCUCAUUUCCUUGCCCAAUUUACAUUACUGUGGGGGCUUCUGACUAGCCAAGAGUCACUCUCUUGGACUGUUAAUGUGCAUACUUAAAUUCACUCUUAUACCUAGAUAAGGAUUCUCCCCAUACUAUUUAUAUUCCAGCAAGAGGUGCCUACUACUUAAGAUUUUACACACUAAUGCAGUUAAUGUGCACAGCCUUUGUUGUCUUGUGCAUACUCAGUUGUCCACAACUGUACCUUUUAGUUCAAGACUCCUGCAAUUACUGAAGCAGAAGUGACUGACCACCUUAAAGCCUUUCUCUUGGGACUCUGGAUGUGUGUAGUAUUGGUUGUCCACUGUCCUUUGAGUUAACUUGGGUCCCUGAGUCUUUUCACAGCCUCUAAGCUUUACUUCAUGGGGUACUUACUGUCCAUUUAAGGCCCCUUUCUCAAACUGUUAAUGUGCAUAAUGACAAUUACAUUGGGAUUCUUCCCCUUUACACUCCCUUUGAAGUACUGCAGGGAAUUCUGACCCAUAAGGUUCUGUUUCAUGGCCUGUUAAGAUGCAUGUUAUAUUUAUCUGGGUUCUUAUGUACUAGAGAAGAAAACCUCUCUCCACUCCCUGUAUCUUCAAGCAGGGAGUGCCCACUGUACAAGACCGUGCCCUGUACAAGACUGUUGAGCAGUCAAGGAAGACAAUUGUAAUUGACCACAGCCAUGCACCAUGGACAUUAAUGUGCAUAAUUGCACAGGCUCAUCCUGUUUGAAUAAGAUACUACCUUCUCAGACCCCAGAAGGGGUACUGAUCAUUAAGACCUUUUUUUCAUGCCUUGUGAUUAUGCAUAAUUGCAUUUGUACAUUUUUCUGUACACCAAAUAAGGACACCCCUCUCCCCACUCCCUUUAUCUUUAGCAAGGAGUGCCCAUUAUUUUAAGAUCCUUGUAUCUGUACAAGAUACAUGGUUUAGUUGAUCAUACCAUGUCUGUUGGACAUUAAUGUACAUAAUUGCAACUUAGUUCAUCCUACUCUGUUGUAUGUCAUUUGCUGUAUGCUAGGGUUGCUGAUCCCUAACUUAUCCUGUUAAUGUGCAUAAUUGCAUUAGUCUGGGUUCUUGUGCACUAGAUGAGGACAUCCUCCACCCCUACUUCUAUGCCUUCCAGUAGGUGGUGCCCACUGCUGUGACAUUUACACUUGGAUGGUUAAUGUGCAGAAUUGUAGUUUCCACAACCCUAUCACUUUCAAAACUAACGUAUCUGCUUUGCACUGCUGCAGGGGAUACUGUUUUCUCCCCAAGUUCCUUCUAGUAAACCAUUAAUAUUCAUAAUUGAAAUAGUUAUACACCCUCAGCUUCCCUUUGCAGUACAGCAGUGUGUACUGAUCAACCAAGGCCCUCUUUUGGAGUGGUAAUAUGUGCAAUUGCAUUUUUUCCUAUUUUGUGCACUCAGUAAGGAUCCUGCCUACUUCCUUACCAGGUUCAGCAGGUAGUGUCCACUACUUAAGACUCUUUCACUUGAAAAGUUCAUGUGUAUAAAUGCAGUUUGCUAAGUGUGUCUUAUACUAGAACCCCUCUUUGCUUUGGAGUAAGAUGUUAUUUACCUAAUGCCCUUUCUUUUAGACUCUAAUGUGCAUAAUUGCAAUUGUCCAUCUUUUCUGUUGGACUAGGGUUGCAUUCCCUCAAACCCCCUUUGUAUCAGGGGUGUGUUAACCAUAAAUGAGCUCUUCUCUUGAGAUUAUAAUUGUACAGACUUGUAUGUGUCUGUGGAUUUGUGUAGUGUGAAAGGAUGCCCUAUGCAUUUACCACUAUCUUUGGAUUGCUGCUGAGGAGUGCUAUCAUGACCUCAGCUCUUGGACAAUUAAUGUGCACCACUAGCAAUGAUGGGACCUCUGUACCCGCUUUGUAUACAUCAGGGGUACUAAGGCCCCUUUCUUGGACUGUCAAUGUGCAAUUGUCUAUGUUCCCUUCUGUUAGAUUUAGGAUAACAUUCCCUUAAACCCCCUUUGCAUUAAUGCAGGGGUUGCUGACCACACAAAACUCUAUUAGUUUAGAGUUAUUAAACUAUUAGUGGGCACAGUGGCAAUUAGUGGGACUAUUAGUGGGCACAAUGGCAAUUAGCAAUGGGUUUUUCCUCCCUGGCCUUGUUAGGCAAACACUCCCAGCCCCAAUUUCCCUUGGCAUAAUAAAGUAUAAACAUGGCAGUAUGCUGUGAACUUGUCCAUCAAAUAGUACCCCAUACUCCCUCUCCUUUUGUAUUGCUUCUAUGUAUAAAAUUCCAAGUAGUCAUGAUCUUCUCCUUCCUUCCCUCUUCCCACCCCUUGCUCACCCUUGGACCCAUCCAAGGUGCAUAAGCACCAUUCUCACAAUUUCAGGUGUUCAUGUAUUGGGCCACUAAAUAAGAUUGUGUUCCUUUUUCCCUCCCAACGCCACCCUGCCCCUUUUGCAUUAUUGCUGGGGAAUGUUGACUGGGCAAGUCCCUUUCUCUUGGAUUUAAAACAUUAACAAUCCCAGAUGUCAUUGCAUUACUCACUUUGUAUUGCUGUAAUGCCUCAGUUGCACUAUCCUUGGUCCCUCCCAUCAGACAUGGACCCCUCCACUUCUUUGCAUUGCUUCUGAGUAAUGCUGAGUACCCAAAGUCUCUUCUGUGUUAUUAACACAGUACUGAUUGUCCCAUUUUUUUCAGGUCAUCAGCCCAAGAUUUUCCUACCAUUUUGAUGUGUUUGUGCAGUGUUGACUACCCAAAGCAGGCCUGAAUUAGGUGGAUGGACCUUCACGCCUUUGUCUGCAUUUGUUAAUAAUCCCAAUUCCAGUUGUUACAUUCUGGGAUAGGAACCAUCCCUGACCAUUUCUGUUACUGCUUCACUGAGCAAAAUGCUCAAGGCAAGUCAGGCCUAGAAAGCUGGAUUGCCACCUUUUAUUUUAGAUUUCCAGUAUAAGUAUCAGUUGAAAAUUGUCUCCCCAGGAAGAAAGAUUAGCAUUGUCUGUGUAUUCUUCCUUCCAGAGCAGAUUGCCUGGCCAAGAAUUUCACUUCUCCUCUUGUAUAUUGCUAUUGUACUGUGCCAGUUGCCAGCGUACAAUUAAAAAAAAAAAAUACUGUUUGCAAGGUGGAAUUGUAAACCUGGUCAUUGAAUUUUGAGGUCCAAAAACCCAUUUAUACCAUGUACCUGAUGACCAGUGUCUCUCAUUUUACUAAGGGUGCUGGGUCUGUGGAUAGACCACUGUGACUCUUGCUAUUUUGGUAUUCCCAAAAGACUUCUAGAGUGGAACUCUUAAGAGCAAUAUCUUUGGGUUCUACCACCAUUUUAAAACCCAUUAUUUAUUUGGGCUUUACCACUGUUCACUUUUAGAAAAACUACCUAAACAUUCUAAUCCUUAAAUUUCUUCAUCUGAAGCAUCUACCACCCCUUACUUAUUUCAAGAAGAUUGCUGUAAAAGAAUGAAAUGAGAGAACAUAUGCUGAGGCACUUUUGAAAACCAUAAUUCAUCUUACUUGAUUAAUCUAUUACAUAAAUAAAAUGCACACUAUUUAAAUCUGCUAAUUUAAACUAGCCUGAAGCACUACACUGAAGUGAGGGAUUAGAAAUGAUGGGUCCAAUUUCCCUAUUUUAGAUUGAAAAAUAAGCCAAGAUCUAAUCAUUCUUCUGGACAUGAAUUUCAACAGCUGCUUGGUAAAAUGAAUAAUAUCCUAGUCUCUAGUGUGCAGGGUGUGGCAGAUAAGUGUUUAAUAUGGAACUCCUGAAGCAAAUAACUAGUGGUCACAACAGCAGUUCUUUGUAAUCAUUGAAAAAGGAUACUAUUCCUCUGACAAGGAUGUCAAAAGAUCGGCCCAGCUCAGGGUGCAGUAUGCACUACUAGCUCCUUGGACAGCUGUAAGAAGAGUCUCUGGCUCUUUAGAAUACUGGAUCAAUUCUGAGCUGGUUCUAUACCCCCACUGAAGAGGAAGGAUGGAUCAAUUUUAAGUGGAUUGAAGCCUGCACUAGACAGCAUCCAAAGGAUAUCGGCCCUGGUUAGCAAAUGUACACCUGCAUGGGAGUUUGACUUGAAGUAAAUAAUUUAAAAAGUUAAUCUGUGGUGUCUGCUAAAAUAUUCUUAUUUGUGAAAGUGUUCUGGGAAUUUACCAUAUUAAAGAGAAGAAAAUUGAUAUCUGAACUGAGCUUUGGCCAGUGGGAGUUCUUUCAGUUGGUUCCUUGAAUAUAACCCCAUCCUUUUCCAAAAUGUAAUCACUUUCUCUGGCUUUAGCUUCCCUUUGAUGGAAAGGGAAUGCUUCUUGAACAUGUCAUCAGUGUAAAAACAAAACUAGAAGGCUUUGGUCUAAUGUAGCCAUACUCAGUAAAUAUGGUUCAGAGUGGAUCAGAAGAUCUGGAGAGAUUGGACUAGUCAUUUCCUUUUAGGUAUCUUAACUGGGUUUUGGUGUCUUCCUGAGUCCUGUCUUUCUUCUCAAGGACGUUCUGAGCAUGUGAAACCUGAGGACUGCAAGUAGCUCUAAGCAGCUUCACAUUCAGCAGAUCUUUCCUUUUGAGAAUCUGGAUAAACUCCAAAUAAUCUAAGAUGAUGGCUUGCAGGCCACCUGGAAAAAAAAAAAAAAGAUCUUCCUCUGAAGAAUAGGCUUGUUGCUCUACAGUGUUAGUGACCCAUUCCCUUUGACGAUCCCUAGGUGGAGAUGGGGCAUGAGGAUCCUCCAGGGGAAAAGCUCACUAUCACUGGGCAACAACCCUAGGCUAGGAGGCUUUACCAAGAUUCUUUCCUGAGCCCAGGUAGGAAGUCUCACAACAACUGCCACACAUCAGAGGUGGCUCCUGAUUGUUCCCUUCUUAUCUGCCAAAUCAUUGUAUCCCCAAAACAAUGCAGAGAGCAAGAAAUUUGAACACAUCAAAGGAAGAUCAACAUGCCUGGCAUGCUAACAUUUUAGAACAGCAGAAUGAAUGUGUAUUUCUUUGUCUAUUUUUUUUCUUGAAUCUCUUUGGUUUUCCUUCUCUGUCUAAAGUGUGUCUCAGCCAUUCCAUGAUUCUCUUGUUAGUUUCUUCUCUGUGUAUCUUUGUCUCAUUUUCUUGUUCCUAAGAGUUGUCUGUGCCUUGUCUUGGAUGUCUCUCUCCAGUUUUUUCAUUUUGUUAGUGAUUCUCUUUGUUCUCCUAGAUCUGGCUCUUCUUUCACUGUUCUUCCUUUUGUGUCUCUGUGUCACAUGAUGUGUGCUUUUUGUUCAUUUCUUGUUCUGCCUAUACCUCUCUUCUUGUUCUGUUGUGAACUCUGAUUUUUUGUUUUCCCUUACCCUUCUUAUUGGUUUCACAUUUCACCUUUUUCUCAUUCUGCCUUCCCUUCUACUUUUUCUACUCAUUAUCUCAAAUUUCUGUGUCUCUUGGGCCAUUUUCUCUCUAUUUUGUCCUGCUUUGUCUCAGUGUCUCUUUUGCUCUCUGUUUUUUUUCCUGCUCUGUCUCAGUGUCUCUUUUUCUCUGUUGUUUUUUUUUUUCUGCUCUGUCUCAGUGUCUCCUUGCUCUUGGUGAUUUUUCCAUUUCAGCAUUCAUCUCUGUUCUCUUGUUUCUUCUCUGCUUUUCCCCUUCUACUCACCUUUGAGUAUUUCAGCCUGUUUGUGAGUCUGUGAUUCCCCCUCUUUGACUUUAUGCAGUCCUCUAUCCUUGAAUAUUUUUGUGCAUUUGUAUGAUCAUGUGUGUGUCUUUGUGACAAAGGGGCUUCCUAACCCCUUCCCAAUAGGUACAGUGUGUCAACUAUCAAAAUACACAUUGCAGAGCUGUUCGUUAUGCCAGGACACCCUGUGAGAUGACCCAAGACCUAUGAUGGACAGAAAGUGGAAGGCCCAUAAUGGAGAGAAGGCCCAAAGUAAAAGACAGAUGGUUUGAGACUUGAGACCUAAAGACAAAAAUGGAAAACCUGUCUCAAGAUAGGUGGAAACUUCAGGCUUGAGACCAUCUAAAGUCCUGACAACCAUGAUGUAAAAAGGUGGCCCUUGUUGGAUAGAAGACCUGACUGAGUUGGAUGGAAAGUUCAAGACUUGAGUUAGAUAGAAGUCCAAAGACCCAGAGUAGGAGACUGAAGGCCUAAGAAUGGGGACCCAUCGAAAGCCUGAGACAUAAGACACCAUGUCUAAGACCUGAGAUAAAAACUUUAGCUUGAAGAUCUAAGAUCCAAGGAUGGAAGGCCCCAGACACACAUAAAGACCCAGGACUCCAGCCUCUAGAUGGACAGAAGGUCAAAGAGAGAAAUCUAUCUCAAGGCUAAAUUAGGUGGGAAGCUAGAAGCCCAUGACACAGAAUCCAAGAAGGAUAGAAGCCCCAAGACCAAAGGAAAUCCCAAGAUGAGAACGCUAAACCCCAGCUUUUUUCUAUUGCCAUCCUUCCUACUCUUGGACAUUUUCAGUUCUCCCUUGACAGUUCUUAUGUUUCCAUUUAAACCCACUUUUUUGAGAUGCCCUUUUAGAUGUUGCCAUUACCUUAAGGAAACAUAUCUUUACAUUGGCAAUAUUAUGCUUGGUCCAGUCUUAAGCCAAUUUUUAUCACAGUUUUGGGCCAUUUAUUGUUUGUUUUUUAAAUUUCCAUUUGUCUUUGCCUCCAAUUCACAUGAGAGAGACAUAUAGGUAACAUUGUAUUUCAGUUGUCCCUUUUCUUUAGGAGCUAUAGGCUGAUGAGCAAAGGCAAGCAUCAGGCUGUUGUGGGAAAAAAGGUGCUAGGCUAUUUAGAGAAAAUGUGAAGAGAUGUUCCAGGCCAGUGAGAAGAAUUAGACAAGAAAUACCCAGAUGUGCCAGACUGUUGAAGCACUAGCCAGAAACACCUUACUUCUUUGAGCUUGGGUGAGCAGGAUUCCUGGGGUUUGGGAUUCCUAGUGAUGGUUAAAAAACAGAUGAUUGGUCCUGGGACAGAGUGAGGCCCCAAGGAGGCAGUUUGAACUCCCUGCUCAUAGUAGUGGCCUAAUAAUUUGGUAGACUGUGCCAGUACUGCUCCUGGGUUUAAUACCCACCUCAACGUUUAAAGGUGAGAGAACUUGGGAAUAUUUACUUAGCAGGUUUAAUCCUUUCCUUGAUUCCCCUCCAUGAGAGAAAAAAAUUUAAACAAUUGAGAAUAUAUGUGAAAGCAUUGUAAAGCAGAGAAAAAAGUGCAAGGCAUUCUCAUUAAUAGUAUAUCAGCAGCCAUGCACAGCUGACAUUUAAAGUGUACUGUCAGUUGUGAAGCAUUAUGUAAAUCAGGGGUCAUCACACCCUUUCUGUAAAGGGUCAUAUGGUAAAUAUUUUAGGUUUUGUGAGCCAUAUGGUCUCUGACACAUUUUUUAAAAUUAACCCUUUACAAAGAAAAACUACUGUUAGCAUGUGAACCAAGUAGAUUUGGUCUGUGGGCCAUACUACCAUCCCUGAUGUACAUACCAGGGACUGUGUGCUGAAUAAUACUUGUGUGUGCCUGUCCCUGAGCUAGACACUUAAGGAUGCAAUAAUUAUUUACUAUUACAUCCAGGUGACCUGAAGAAAAAUAUGUGAAUGUGCUUUGUAAACUGUAAAGCACUUAAAGAUUUAUGAGUUUCAGAGUUGAUGAAUGAAUAUUGACUACACAGUAUGUACAUUCUACUGUACAUUCUACUAGACACUGUGAAUACAAGGAUUAAAAGAAGCCUGAAUAAAGUACUUUGUCAGAAGUAUGUAAUACUAUGAAGAUAUUAGGAAUUGUUUGAUAAAUGAAUAAUUCAUAUAUUUGUGGCCAUCAUGUUUCCGCUGCUCUGGUAAUUUUAAGUAAAAGUACAGUAUUCCAGGUAGCAGAAAAGCAAACACAUGGAAGCUGCUUUUAAAGCAUAAAAUAUACUACAAACACAAGGGAUUAAGCUAUUGUGAAAACUUAUAACAUGUCACAUACCAUGCUAGGUGCUACAGAUGUCAAAGGGAAAACAGUGUCCUCAGUAGGGAAUUAAAAAUGUCAGAUUAUGAGGUGCAUAUUAAAGUACUUUGUAAACUAAAGUACUGUAUAGAUACCAGUGUGUUACAUGUUUAUGAAUAUUAUUUGCCUUUUAUGGGCCAGGUAUAUUUUGGGUACUCUGAAAUCUAAGAUAAUGCUUCCAAGUAAUAAGAGGGGGGCUUAUGUCCUAGACUAUUUAGAUGUAAAGAAUUGGAUAUUGCUUGUUUUAAUCAAUCAAGACUUUAAUGGUGAUGUCAAAUUAAAUUAUCACCAGUAUAUUUUACCAGGUAACAGGUAAAUGUAAUGAUUGAGAUUGCACUUGCACUUUCUAAAGUGCUAUAUAAAUACAAGACAUUAGCUGUUUUCUGUGUGAAUAAAACUUUCUGUGAGAUAGACAUUGUCUCCAGAAAAUUCUCAUUGUGUUCCUGACAUCCACUAUGACAAAGGUAAUAUAAAUAGUUAUAGAAACUGAGGGUUUAAAUACUUGUUGAAUGAAUGAAUGAAUAUCAGUUACUUACUAUGUGGACUCACUAUUAUAGGCACUAAAGAGGUACAAAGAUUUAUCAUUUCAUUGUGCUUACAGCUGAGAAUAAGCCGAUACAUGUGUCAGCAUUUUGGGAACUCUAAAGCAUCAUAUAAGUGUAACUACUGAUUUUCUGAUUUGGUGCUGAGUACUGGGCUUAUAAAAUUAUAUCACACUUAUUAUACUAUGAAAAAAGUUGGAAAAAUCUGAGGAAGAGUUCUUAACUAUUAAACACUCUGAAUAUGCAAAGGAUUAAAUAUCUGGUAAAUGCAAAACUGGUUAAUAAUUGUCUAUUACAUGCCAGUCUCCUUGCUAGGCAUUAAGGAUGUGAAGAUAAACCAUCUUUAUUGUGUCCUGGGUAGCAGCAGAUAAUGUAUAAAAUCAAUUUAUAAGUCUUAAACUGCCAUAUAUGUAUAAGCAAUAUCUGCUGAAUUAACAUUGAUUAUUUACUCUGUCUUAUCUGUGGAGACAACAAACGGGGAUGCAGAAAUUAUCAUUAUUAUUGAACUUACAACAUAGAUCUGUGUAAAUUUACAAGCCUGCUGUUCUAUACAGAUAUAAGGAAAUAACUUGGCUUAAUGAAUGAUUACUUUCUAUGAGGCUUACAACUAUCCCAUGCCUUAGGAUAUAAAAAUGAUUUUAUUCUUAUGAGGUGUUCAUAGGAAGAAAUAAGGAAAUCCAGUGAGAAAUAAGGAAAUAAGUGAGAUCCAGACUAAAAGUUAAGCACUACUAAGCUUAUUUAAUAAAAACAUGGGAAAAAUGGAAUUGUGCCAGGAAGUAUGCUAAAUGCUGAACUCUGUGGAAAGACAAUAUCUGAAUCAGAGGGUGUCCUUCCUCUCUAGCUAGACUGAAGAGAUGGGAAAUGUUUUUAAAAAAGAUGUUAUAGUUCUUUAUCAGUCUUUAAAAUGUUGAAUGCUGAAGGUGGAGGUGAAUGAGAUCCACCCUGCCUGGCUUAAAAUUAAAUGGCUCAGGUUUGGUUUUAGAUUCAUAUAAUAAACCUAGAGCAUCUUUUAUGUGGAAUACAUCAUUCUAGGUCCUAAGAGAAGUGAAAUGGCUAAGACAAAAGGGCAUCAGAAUACAGAUUAUAGAUGAAGAUAAGAAAACAUCAUUGAUUUUUAAGUAGAUAUUUGAGUGCCUGUUUUCUGGACAGUAUUAUGCUAGAUAAAUUAGUUGAGUUGGCCUGGUCCAGAAAACUUAUCGACAUGCCUUAGAGAUUAAAAAAAAAUAGAAAAAUAAGGCAUGAUUCUUUUAAUGUUAAAUGAAGACUUUUUUCCUAAUUCUUUCUAAUUUUCACUUGCUCAUUGACCUAGUUUGAAGCCAGAAGACUGAUAAUAAGGGAGCUUAGGGUUUGUCCUUUAAUUCAUUACUUUAACAUUCUGUUUUGAUUAUAGAUGGAUGGUUUAAGAUGAGAAUUAAGAUAAAACAACUGGUUUUAAAAAUAUUUGCUUAUUGGCCUGGCAUAGAGUCAGGAAGCCACUUGAGCAGUAAAGAUUUUUUUCUAGAUUUUCUGUAUUUUGUAAAAAUUUAUUUACCCUGUAUAAUGUUCUCAAAUGCAGAGAAUGAAGAGACUUAAAGGACCUAUACCAAAAUGUACUUUAAUCUCACUAGUUUAUGGUGGAAACAUAGGAACUAAUUUAAUAAGAGACUGCAGUUCUUUCAGUUUAUUGAGCCGCUGUGAUAGUAAGACACUGAGAACAAAUGAUCACCUUCUCCUUGGCAUGUUUUAUAGAGUGGGAAUAAGAGAGAACUUUUCAUUUAUACAAACUUUGAGGAAGGUGAUGUUAAAUUGGAACAGAUCUGGUAAGAAAGGCACUUAUUUUGUCUUGGAGAUGCAAUAGGACAAAACAAAAACAAACUAACAAAACAAAAAGGAAUGAAAUUCUUCUUUAAAUGGAAGUGUCUAUUUCAAGGCAUUGUGUUAAUUGCUAGACAGAAAACAAAAAAGAUCUUGACUGAAAGAUACUUUUUAGUUAGCUUUGAGACUAGAAUAUAAGAGAUUACUGUUCUUCAUUUAUUCAUUCUACAAGUACAUUUGAAUGCCUAUUAUGUAUAAAGCUCUUUGCUAUGUUCCCAGAUAGCCCGAGAGACAUGAAAAAAACAAAAGAAAAACAAAAAAUAAAUGCUUUCCUAGAGAACUUUUAAAGCUUUUCUUUUGGCCUGUUUUCUGGUUAGGGGCAUGGCAUAGUCCGCAAAUAAUGUUGUGGGUUUUAAUUGCUGUUCCAUGUAUCUUCUACCACUCUGGCCACUACAAUAAGCAGGGUUUUCUAUUGAGCUUGCUCUUUAAGUUGCAGGAACUUUCUUUAUAAUAGGCACUUUAUUUUUCCUGGCCCAUCCCUAAUGAAAAAUGACUGUGACCGCUGCUGGACAGAAGGAGGGAUGACAAACAACUAAUUCCCAAAUUCCAGCUUCAUUGGUACCAGCAUUGGGGAAACACUUAUACUCUAGCGACAAUUGGUUUUAAAAUGCAUUUACCAGUUUUGUCUGUUUUUAAUUGUUUACAUUUUUACAUUCUGACAAAUAUGUGCUGCCUAAAUAGAUCUCUUUGAAAUACAUAACAUAAUUGGAGAUGGAGACAUGAUUUCUCUUUUGCAAUAGUAUCUCAACUUAACCUUUAGAAAUCUCACCAUCAAAACAUGUUCAAGAAAGGACUUCUUAAUAGUGGAAUAAUAUCAGUUAAUUAAAAUAGCUUAACAAUUUUACCAUGUUUAAAAUUUCAGAAUAAUAGAAAUUGGAAGUAAUUGGCAAAAAUUGGAGGGAAUCAACAACAAUCCUCAAUCUAGGCCCAACUGGGUUUUGACCUUUUCUAUUUUUAAAUCACUCACAGAGGGUGGGAUAGGAGGAAGAGUGAAAGAAAAGGUCAAACCAGUUUCUAAGGGCAGCCUGCCUGUGUUUGGUAUUGGUUUUAAGAACAUUACUACCUCCAAGUCUAACUAGGGGAUUGCUUUUUUUAGUUUAAUGCAAUUCCGAUCAGUAGUCCUUACUGAGAUGAAGACAUGGUACUUUGUCCCCCACUAAUUUCUGUAAGUCUUUGAGAAACAAUUUUGAGCUAGUUAUCAACUAAACCUUGAGUUAGAUAAUUAUGGGAUUUGUUAAUUAAAUCAAUGUAACCUCCAUCAGAAGGUAGUUUUAAAGUCAACAUUCACUGCAAAAGAGGAGGACUUUAUUGUUCACAGUAAUUUAUAUAACUUUUAGUUUACAUCUGUAAAUGAAGAAGGAAAUAGGUGAAUGGCAAAAGAUAAUUGGUGGAGGGAACAAAGUUGAAGACAAAUUGGGUGUGAUGUUUCUAGUUUUCACUUUGUACAUUUUUAUUUAGGCAUCAGAUAUAUCUGAAAUACUGUUUGGCCUUUAAUACUGUGGUAUCAGAUGGAUUCUGUAACACCCAUAUUUUCAAGUUGGGGUCGGGGAGUACAUUAUUGGAAAUUAGACAGGAGAAAGUAACUAAAAGCCUUCCUUUCACAGUUCCUGACAUCCUAAGACUACUGCUAUUGAUAAGAAUAAGAACAUACUAUCAUCUGAAUUUUUAUGGCAUAAAUGAAAUUAUGAACAAAUACAUUUUUAAAGGAAAUGGCUUCAUCUCUACCCUUCUGCCUAAAAGGGAAUCUAUGCCAAAUGUUCCAAUAAAUGGGAAGAUACACUUUGACUUGUGAACUGAUGUGAAAAUGCAGAAUCUUUGAUUUUUGAGUGUUUUGAAGAUUGAAAAAUCUUGCUCAGCAUGGGUGACUACCAAAAGCAAUCUAAAGCUAUCGACAUGUCACAACUGAGACAAAUUGGGGAAUGUGUUGUCUAAUGUGAAAUAAAAUGUACUGUUUUGAAAA